rnacentral:rRNA from 1 species
CUCGUAGGCGGUUCGUCGCGUCCGGUGUGAAAGUCCAUCGCUUAACGGUGGAUCCGCGCCGGGUACGGGCGGGCUUGAGUGCGGUAGGGAGACUGGAAUUCCCGGUGUAACGGUGGAAUGUGUAGAUAUCGGGAAGAACACCAAUGGCGAAGGCAGGUCUCUGGGCCGUCACUGACGCUGAGGAGCGAAAGCUGGGGAGCGAACA